rnacentral:misc_RNA from 1 species
AAGUCGUAACAAGGUUUCCGUAGGUGAACCUGCGGAAGGAUCAUUAACAAAUCUGCUACAUGGCGAGCCCGCAAGGGAGCGCACAUGUAAAUUUACCCCGAGCUGGUGUUACAGCCAGCUUUGGUUGGGUGGUUCGGGCCUUUGGGCUUGGAUCACUCGGGCUAGUGCUUCACGGCACUGGCCACAUAGACGCUUGUAAGUUUGACAGAGUACAGUUGUAUAAUAAAAUGACAACUUUUAACAAUGGAUCUCUUGGCUCUU